rnacentral:rRNA from 1 species
GAUUGAACGCUGGCGGCAGGCUUAACACAUGCAAGUCGAGCGGAGAGAGGUAGCUUGCUACUGAUCUUAGCGGCGGACGGGUGAGUAAUGCUUAGGAAUCUGCCUAUUAGUGGGGGACAACAUCUCGAAAGGGAUGCUAAUACCGCAUACGUCCUACGGGAGAAAGCAGGGGAUCUUCGGACCUUGCGCUAAUAGAUGAGCCUAAGUCGGAUUAGCUAGUUGGUGGGGUAAAGGCCUACCAAGGCGACGAUCUGUAGCGGGUCUGAGAGGAUGAUCCGCCACACUGGGACUGAGACACGGCCCAGACUCCUACGGGAGGCAGCAGUGGGGAAUAUUGGACAAUGGGGGGAACCCUGAUCCAGCCAUGCCGCGUGUGUGAAGAAGGCCUUAUGGUUGUAAAGCACUUUAAGCGAGGAGGAGGCUACUUUAGUUAAUACCUAGAGAUAGUGGACGUUACUCGCAGAAUAAGCACCGGCUAACUCUGUGCCAGCAGCCGCGGUAAUACAGAGGGUGCAAGCGUUAAUCGGAUUUACUGGGCGUAAAGCGCGCGUAGGCGGCUAAUUAAGUCAAAUGUGAAAUCCCCGAGCUUAACUUGGGAAUUGCAUUCGAUACUGGUUAGCUAGAGUGUGGGAGAGGAUGGUAGAAUUCCAGGUGUAGCGGUGAAAUGCGUAGAGAUCUGGAGGAAUACCGAUGGCGAAGGCAGCCAUCUGGCCUAACACUGACGCUGAGGUGCGAAAGCAUGGGGAGCAAACAGGAUUAGAUACCCUGGUAGUCCAUGCCGUAAACGAUGUCUACUAGCCGUUGGGGCCUUUGAGGCUUUAGUGGCGCAGCUAACGCGAUAAGUAGACCGCCUGGGGAGUACGGUCGCAAGACUAAAACUCAAAUGAAUUGACGGGGGCCCGCACAAGCGGUGGAGCAUGUGGUUUAAUUCGAUGCAACGCGAAGAACCUUACCUGGCCUUGACAUAGUAAGAACUUUCCAGAGAUGGAUUGGUGCCUUCGGGAACUUACAUACAGGUGCUGCAUGGCUGUCGUCAGCUCGUGUCGUGAGAUGUUNGGGUUAAGUCCCGCAACGAGCGCAACCCUUUUCCUUAUUUGCCAGCGAGUAAUGUCGGGAACUUUAAGGAUACUGCCAGUGACAAACUGGAGGAAGGCGGGGACGACGUCAAGUCAUCAUGGCCCUUACGGCCAGGGCUACACACGUGCUACAAUGGUCGGUACAAAGGGUUGCUACACAGCGAUGUGAUGCUAAUCUCAAAAAGCCGAUCGUAGUCCNGGAUUGGAGUCUGCAACUCGACUCCAUGAAGUCGGAAUCGCUAGUAAUCGCGGAUCAGAAUGCCGCNGGUGAAUACGUUCCCGGGCCUUGUACACACCGCCCGUCACACCAUGGGGAGUUUGUUGCACCAGAAGUAGCUAGCCUAACUGCAAAGAGGGCGGUUACCACGGUGUGGCCGAUGACUGGG